rnacentral:piRNA from 1 species
UGAGAACAUUGACGACGCUAAGGAUGCCA